AUGAACUCUUUGAAUAUCCAUAGUACUAAUGAUGUUUGCACUAGUUAUGAUGAAAAUAUCUCUUAUAAGCAUGUCGAUUUUUGUGGAGUAGAUUGGGUUUGCAAGUACACACCAAAUAGGGAAAAUAGAUAUUGCAAGAGGCAUAAGUAUUUAGAAACUAAAAGGUUGCACGAAAUUCUUGAUGUUUGUGCUGAAAAAUUCAAUAUUUUUCGCGCUCCUUGUGAACUUUACAAUGAACGUGGUCAUUUAAAUCUCCAAUGCAAAUUGUUUCAUGACCAAAUCGUAUCCAAAAUUUGUGCUAAUUUGAUUACCCUUGAGCAUCAUAAAGAGCUUAGUCUUCUUUUGGGGUAUGAAGAAAUGAAACGUAUAACUGAGGGUAUUUCAAAAUUUAAUCUUGAUAGAUUUCUUGAUUUUGAUCUAGAGAAGAUUUAUUUGUAUUAUGCGGUGAAUUGCAUUGAAAAUCCUUAUAUUGCCAAUUACAUAAAGAAAAGAAAGCAAAUAGAAGAUGAUGAGAAUACUAAUGAAAGGGAAGAGAUUUCCCAAUCUCCUCCUAUUAUUGCUUAUGAUGAAUCAGGUAACGAGGAGGAGCUUUCUAUUCAACCAAUCCCAUCAAUAAAGAAAGUUGAACCCACACAUAAUGUGAAGAAGAAAAAGAAAAGAAGGAGCAACAAAGGUAAAAAGGUAUCCCUCCCAAAUGAUGUUGCUCCUACUACUCAUUGUGAUGAUGGUAAUUGCUAUACUAUUGGUGCUAUCCAUACUAUUAAUGAUGAGAGUGAUUAUGCUUAUGAUAUGAAAGGACCCAAGCUUGGGGAAGCUAUGUUUGAUGAGGAUGACAUAUUUGAGAAUAUAUUUGCUAAAAUUAAUGUUUGUCCCAAGCUUGGGGAUGCUAAGUUUAAUGAAGAUGAUAUUUUUAGCAUCCCAAGUUUUGAUAUGCAAAGUUGUUAUGAUGAUAGCAUGCCUCUUACCUAUGAUGAUUAUAUUAAUGAAAGUGGGUUUGGAAGAGUGUCAACUUUAGGAAGUAGUGAUCCCACUAUUUUGGAGGAUGUUGAAUUUUAUUGUGAUGAAUACGAAAGUGGAUUUGGAAGAGUGUCAACUUUAUUUAGUGAUUCCACUAAUCUUGGGAGAGGUUUCAACUGA
rnacentral:rRNA from 1 species